AGAGUUUGAUCCUGGCUCAGGACGAACGCUGGCGGCGUGCCUAAUACAUGCAAGUCGAGCGGAGUUAUGAUGGAAGCUUGCUUUCAUUAUAGCUUAGCGGCGGACGGGUGAGUAACACGUGGGCAACCUGCCCGUAAGUUCGGGAUAACUGUCGGAAACGGCGGCUAAUACCGGAUGGAUGGUCUUCCCGCAUGAGGGGA
rnacentral:rRNA from 1 species